CUGCUGCCUCCCGUAGGAGUUUGGUCCGUGUCUCAGUACCAAUGUGGGGGGUUGACCUCUCAGUCCCCCUAUGUAUCGUCGCCUUGGUGAGCCGUUACCUCACCAACUAGCUAAUACAACGCAUGUCCAUCUCUGACCACCUGAGUUUUCAACCACCGAAGAUGACUCCGGUGAUGUUAUGGGGUAUUAGUACCAAUUUCUCGAUGUUAUCCCCCUGUCAAAGGUAGGUUACAUACGCGUUACGCACCCGUCCGCCGGUCGCCGG
rnacentral:rRNA from 1 species